rnacentral:rRNA from 1 species
GACGAACGCUGGCGGCGUGCUUAACACAUGCAAGUCGUACGGUAAGGCCCUUUCGGGGGUACACGAGUGGCGAACGGGUGAGUAACACGUGAGUAACCUGCCCACAACUUUGGGAUAACGCUAGGAAACUGGUGCUAAUACUGGAUAUGUGCUCCUGCUGCAUGGUGGGGGUUGGAAAGCUCCGGCGGUUGUGGAUGGACUCGCGGCCUAUCAGGUUGUUGGUGGGGUAGUGGCCUACCAAGGCGGCGACGGGUAGCCGGCCUGGGAGGGUGACCGGCCACAUUGGGACUGGGAUACGGCCCAGACUCCUACGGGAGGCAGCAGGGGGGAAUAUUGCACAAUGGGCGCAAGCCUGAUGCAGCAACGCCGCGUGCGGGAUGACGGCCUUCGGGUUGUAAACCGCUUUCAGCAGGGACGAAGCUUUUUGUGACGGUACCUGCAGAAGAAGCACCGGCUAACUACGUG